UUGCGGUUAAAAAGCUCGUAGUUGGAUUUCUGUCAGAGACGGCCGGUCCGCACUAGUUGCGUGUAUCUGGUUCGGCUAGGGCAUCCUCUUGGGGAUCGUUUCUGUGCUUCAUUGCAUGGGGCGGAAUUCAAGACUUUUACUUUGAGGAAAUUAGAGUGUUCACGGCAAGCAAUCGCUUUGAAUACAUUAGCAUGGAAUAAUAAUAUAGGGCGUAAGUUCUAUUUUGUUGGUUUCUAGGACAUACGCAAUGAUUAAUAGGGACAAUUGGGGGCAUUCGUAUUAACGCGUCAGAGGUGGAAUUCUUAGAUUGCGUUACGACGAACUACUGCGAAAGCAUUUGCCCAGGAUGUUUUCAUUGAUCAAGAACGAAAGUAUGGGGAUCGAAGACGAUUAGAUACCGUCGUAGUCUAUACCAUAAACUAUGCCAAUUAGAGAUUGGAGAGUCGUUCGUUUUAUGGCACCUUCAGCACCUUAUGAGAAAUCAAAAUUUUUGGGUUCCGGGGGGAA
rnacentral:rRNA from 1 species